rnacentral:tRNA from 1 species
GGAUAGAUGGCAGAGUGGGCUAUUGCGGCGGUCUUGAAAAUCGUUGAGUGUAAAACACUCCGGGGGUUCAAAUCCCUCUCUAUCCGC